UUCUUCGGGGGCGGGUGCUAAUUCCCCACCGGCGGUGAAAGUCCGCGACCUGUGCAGCAAUGCAUGGCUGACUCGGUGAAAUUCCGGGACCGACAGUGAUAGUCUGGAUGUGAGAAGAA
rnacentral:ncRNA from 1 species